ensembl:lncRNA
AGUUGGUGAUGUACUGGCGUGCUGCGAUUCAUGGGGUCGCAAAGAGUCGGACACGACUGAGCGACUGAACUGAAGUAAAGAACCCUGCUUCUUACAGGAGAAGCAAGAUACUGGAGCUUGCUCUCUGAGUCGGGAAGAUCCCCUGGAGGAGGAAGUAGCAACCCACUCCAGUAUUCUUGCCUGGAGAAUCCCCAUGGACGGAGGAGCCUGGCGGGCUACAGUCCAUGGGGUUGCAGAGAGUUGGACACGACUGAGCGACUAAGCAUGCAUGCGAUUCAGUUUGGAGUAUUGCCUCAAGUAUUUUAAUGCUUCAUGUUUUUUCCCAGGAAGUUUUUAUUUUUUUGUUUGAAUCAGCCAAAUUGUGUCAAUGUUCAUGGUAUGAUUUUUGUAAUAAGGUGGCUCAGAUGGUAAAGAAUCUGCCUGCAACGCAGGAGACCUGUGUUCGAUCCCUGGGUCUGGAAGAUCUGCUGGAGAAGGAAAUGGCUACCCACUUCAGUACUCUUGACUGGAAAAUUCCACGGACAGAGGAGCCUGGCAGGCUACAGUCCAUGGGGUGACAAAGAGUCGGACACGCCUGAGCGACUAACACUUUCACUUUCACUUCAGAAUAGAGGUAAUUUUGAUCUGUUCAUUUUGUGGAUUUGGAGUGGGAGUGUUGACAAGAUUUCUGGUUCAGUGGCCCCUCUUGCAUCUGUGCAGCAAACAGCAAAGUCCGGGUUCCUGAACAGAUUUAUUUCUGGUGGUGCUGGGAGGGGGACAGGUCCCCUGAACUUUGCUUCAGCCUUUCCAAGGGGACCUGGAACCUCCGUGUUGUACUCCUUUCUGCCUUUGCCACGUGACUCCUACAGGGCAGGUCUUCCUGCUGUUUUGCUUCUCCUGAUGCGUUGCUUCUCAAAGAUCCCACUUUACACGGGCGUCUCCGCAGUCGGUGCCCUGAUGCGUGGCAUGCGUGUUGUUGUGCAGGCAUGGGGGGCCGCCCGCUGCCCUGUUGCCGGGGGUUCUGUUCUGCGCCAGCUGUUCGGCCAGCCCUCGUCUGCACCCGCCUGCCCCCCGUCGUCCUGGACUGCUCUCACUGCUGCAGAGCAGGGGCAGCCUGCCUGCUGGCGUCUCGUCCUCUCUCCUUUCUUGUGCACUUACAGUUGUUUUGAAGUCGAGGCAGUCUCGUCUUCCAGUCGUGCCGAGGGCGCGGUUUCCGUCCGGUCGUGUUUGUUCUUGCUCUUCGUUGUUUCUGGCGGCUCUGCAGGGGAUGCAGACCCAGGCCGCUUCCAUCCUCUUUGGUUCCCCAAGUCCUAUUCCGGGAGCUUUAGGGCACAUCUCUUAUGCCCCUCCCAGAUCUCCUGGAUCCUUCUGGGCCCUCGUCAGGUCAGCCUCUUCCUCUGGCUCAGCGUGGCCGACGGCUUGAGCACCUGUGCUACCUGCGUCUCACAGAGGUAGAAGUCAGUCCCCCAUCCUCCGUGUCUGGGGGCUCCGGAGGGGGAACCGGUGCUUGACUCAGGGCCAGUAUGGAGCAGGUGCCCAGACACAGUCCAUGGAGGAGAACAGCUCACGGAUGUCGUCCUGAGAACAGCUCUGGGUCGUGGCCCUGUCCCCGCACACGCCUGGCCUGUGGUGUGAGAUAUUAGCCCAGCCUGUAGAUAAAGACCCAAAGGUUCAGGGAGGCAAGGUUUGCAGCCGAUUGGCCACAGGCCUGGGAGGAGGCCAGGAGGAGGCCGGGCACUCCUCUCCACUCCGCUCCGCAGACAGUCUUGCCUCAAGGACGCUGGGGGAGCUGCCAGCCACCAGCAGACCCUGAGAGCAGCCUCCGCAUCUGACUCCGGGGUGACUGCCUUGAAGUCGCAGUGUUCCUUCAGACCCCAGCAGCACCAGGCGCCUGUGGGCCAGAAGGGGCAGACAGACGUGGGCCCGGGCCGCCUGCAGGCUCCGUCCCCCCCGAGGCUGCGGCCUGGCCUGCUGCCUCCUGCUCUGGGCACACCCGUCUCACGUGUGCGCCAGAUAAACAGCCAGACUCUGCUGUGCAGAAGGCACAACAGUGCACACAUUACUUUGCAAUUUGCUUUUCAAAUUUUGCUCUGUGAUGGUUCAUCCUUCAAGCCGAAGCCCAGAGCCCUGGCUUCUUCUGUCUCAUGUGUACAUUUUUCCAUCGAGAGGAGGCACGGGAGUGUAUUCAGCCUGGCCCUUGUUAGUAAACAUUCUGCUUGUUUCUGCGUUUGGGAGGCACAGAGCGUUGUGAUAAACAUUCAUGGACAUAUGUCCUUACAAGAGGAAGAGCCGGGGGGGUGGUUCUGAGAGGACGGAGCAGAGGCAGCUUCUCAGAUGUGCCCCCAGCCCCCAGCCCCAGCUGCUCUCCCUCUGCAGCGGGAACCCCGCCUCCUGGCCUGGACACACCUGCCCCCCACGUCCACUACUGACCUUUUGCAUUUGGAGUGACUUCCGUUUUGCUUUGCGUCUCCUCACUGCCCGAGUGCAGGCACCGUUCUGUAUCCAGGCUUAUGUUUCCACUUGCAUGAACCCUCCGUUUAUCCUUCAUCUCCUCAGUCUGCGGGAGCUCUUUGUACAGGCGGGGAAUUAAACCUCCUGAUUACAUGGGCUGUGCGCGUUUUCUGUUGCAAAUGGAGAGACAGCUGUGCAAGUUACAGGCCCCGGUGUUUGUCUUUAGACUCAGCACUCAUAUAUUUUAAACACACAAAUGUAACAUUUUUAUAUUUUAAUAUGUAAUAUACUCAUGUAAUAGGCUUCCUUGUACCAGACAGUAAAGAAUCUGCUUGUGAAGCAGAAUCCCAUGGACAGAGGAGCCUGGUGGGCUACAGUCCAUAGGGUCAUACAGAGUCAGACACGACUGGGGCAACUAACACACACACACACACUAAUGUAGUAUUUAAAAAAUUGCUAAUGUAUUUUACUUUGCCACAGAGGAUUUAACAUUUGUCUAAUGGCUGAACCGUUCUCUUUUUUUGUGACUGGACUUCCUGUCUUGGCUGAAGGUGUCACCCUUAUCUGGAAUUAUGCAAAUAGUCUUAUAUUUUUUUCUUAUUGGAUGUUUUUUUUUAGUUUUGCAUUCUGGUCCUUUAAAACAGACUAAGUUUAUCCUUGUAUUGGGAUGAGGCAAGGGUUCAGCGUGCUUUCCUCCCCACCUCUGAUGGGCUAUGGCAACCCCGCUGUGCAGUGGGCCCGGCCCCCCGCCGGCCCCACUGGAUGGAUGGGCCAGUCUUUCCUCUGCGGGUUCCUGCGCUUGGACCGUGUCUGGCCCUCUAGCCCGUUCCCCUGGGUGGUUCUACACCUGUUUCAUGGCAAUACUUAACACUUUGCAGAACGUUCUGACAAUCACGGAAAAUCCGUUCUUUAUAACUAAACUUUAAAGUAAAAAAAUAGGAGUUGGGUUGGAGUGGCAACACCCUGCAGGUUUCUCUGGGAAGGACUGGCCUUCAGUGGCGGGAGGAUGGCUCACCCAAAGCUUGGUGCUUCCCUCGGGGCCUCCAGCCUCGCUUUCUGUCCUUCCGUGGCGCGGAUGUCCCUUUGUCUCAGCCAUGUGCCCCCUCCAGUCUCCUCGUGGUCGGGGACUUUGCGGCCGGUGUUCCAUUCCCAGCGGUCGGCUGGUUCCUGGGGGGCUGGGAUGGGCCACACGGAGGCCCCGCAGGACCGAGGUCACCUGCCUGUGACCACCAGCCGCCUCCCCGUACGCCAGUUUGGGGCAGCUGAAGACGGGGGCCAGCUCCUCCAGUGCCUCCCGGGGUGGAGUCCAUGUCCACUGACCGGCCAGUCUGGGGGUGAAAGGUCCAGCCCCGGCUCCAGUCUGGGACCCUUCUCGGGGGGCCGCCGCGGUGGGGUCAGCCGGCUCGCGUUGCCUCUGAGUCACUGAGUGACGUCUCCAGGCCUCGUCCUGCUGCUCCUGUUCACUCACGGCUGCUUUCCCAGGAGGCCCCUCGCCCGCUCCACAAAGCACAAAGCCCCGCGUCUAUUUCCCGCCCAUGAG